GUCUAUGGCCAUACCACCCUGAAUGCGCCCGAUCUCAUCUGAUCUCGGAAGCUAAGCAGGGUCGGGCCUGGUUAGUACUUGGAUGGGAGAAAUGCUGAGUAUAAUAAAGCUGUUUAGAUG
ensembl:rRNA 5S_rRNA 5S ribosomal RNA